GUGGGGAAUAUUGCACAAUGGGCGAAAGCCUGAUGCAGCGACGCCGCGUGAGCGAUGAAGUAUUUCGGUACGUAAAGCUCUAUCAGCAGGGAAGAUAAUGACGGUACCUGACUAAGAAGCACCGGCUAAAUACGUGCCAGCAGCCGCGGUAAUACGUAUGGUGCAAGCGUUAUCCGGAUUUACUGGGAGUAAAGGGAGCGUAGGCGGCGUGGUAAGUCAGAAGUGAAAGCCCGGGGCUCAACCCCGGGACUGCUUUUGAAACUAUCAUGCUAGAGUGUCGGAGAGGUAAGUGGAAUUCCUAGUGUAGCGGUGAAAUGCGUAGAUAUUAGGAGGAACACCAGUGGCGAAGACGGCUUACUGGACGAUAACUGACGCUGAGGCUCGAAAGCGUGGGGAGCAAACAGGAUUAGAUACCCUUGUAGUCC
rnacentral:rRNA from 1 species